CUUCUACUCCCUCCGUCCGGAAAUACUUGUCAUCAAAAUGGAUGAAAAUGAAUGUAUCUAGAACUAAAAUACAUCUAGAUACAUCCAUUUCAAUGACAAGUAUUUCCGGACGGAGGGAGUACAAA
rnacentral:pre_miRNA from 1 species